CACGUAGGGCGCAAGCGUUGUCCGGAAUUAUUGGGCGUAAAGAGCUCGUAGGCGGUCUGUUGCGUCCGCUGUGAAAACUCGGGGCUUAACCCCGAGCCUGCAGUGGAUACGGGCAGACUAGAGGUAGGUAGGGGAGAAUGGAAUUCCCGGUGUAGCGGUGAAAUGCGCAGAUAUCGGGAAGAACACCCGUGGCGAAAGCGGCGCGCUGGACCACUACUGACGCUGAGGAACGAAAGCUAGGGGAGCAAACAGG
rnacentral:rRNA from 1 species